UAGCAAUAUAGAGGCUGGCGACCGGCAAACGGGUGCGGAACACGUACACAACCUUCCUUGAAUAGGGGGAUAGCCCAUAGAAAUGUGGAUUAAUACCCCGUAAUAUAGCGGUGUGGCAUCACACUGUUAUUACAGUUUCGACGAUUCGAGAUGGGUGUGCGGCUGAUUAGGUAGUUGGCGGGGUAAAGGCCCACCAAGCCUUCGAUCAGUAGCUGAUGUGAGAGCAUGAUCAGCCACACGGGCACUGAGACACGGGCCCGACUCCUACGGGAGGCAGCAGUAAGGAAUAUUGGUCAAUGGACGCAAGUCUGAACCAGCCAUGCCGCGUGAAGGAUGAAGGUCCUCUGGAUUGUAAACUUCUUUUAUAGGGGGCGAAAAAAGGUCUUUCUAGAUCACUUGACAGUACCCUAUGAAUAAGCACCGGCUAACUCCGUGCCAGCAGCCGCGGUAAUACGGAGGGUGCAAGCGUUAUCCGGAUUCACUGGGUUUAAAGGGUGCGUAGGCGGGUAGGUAAGUCAGAGGUGAAAUCCUGGAGCUUAACUCCAGAACUGCCUUUGAUACUAUCUAUCUUGAAUAUGGUGGAGGUAAGCGGAAUAUGUC
rnacentral:rRNA from 1 species